GACGAACCGUCCGAACGUUAUUCGGAAUCACUGGGCUUAAAGGGUGCGUAGGCGGCGCGGAAAGUUGGGUGUGAAAUCCCCCGGCUUAACCUGGGAACUGCGUCUGAUACUGGACGGCUCGAGUUUGGGAGAGGGAUGCAGAAUUCCAGGUGUAGCGGUGAAAUGCGUAGAUAUCUGGAGGAAUACCGGUGGCGAAGGCGGCUUCCUGGACCGACACUGACGCUGAGGUGCGAAAGCUAGGGGAGCAAACGGG
rnacentral:rRNA from 1 species